GUGGGAAAGGAUGUGGAGUCGCAUAGACAGCCAGGAGGUUGGCUCAGAAGCAGCCACCCUUGAAAGAGUGCGUAACAGCUCACUGGUCUAGUGGUUCCGCGCCGACAAUGUAGCGGGGCUCAAGCACACCACCGAAGACGCGGCAGUAGCUUUGCUACUGGGUAGGAGAGCGUCCCAUGCGGGGCGAAGCGGCGGCGCAAGCCCGCCGUGGACCGCAUGGGAGUGAGAAUGCAGACAUGAGUAGCGAAAGACGGGUGAAGAUCCCGUCCGCUGGACGACCAAGGGUUCCAGGGCCACGUUCAUCGUCCCUGGGUGAGUCGGGUCCUAAGGCGAGGCCGACAGGCGUAGUCGAAUGGAUGAACGGGUCGAUAUUCCCGUACCGGCAUGCAACCGACAAAACCGAAUCCGCGAGUACUAACCUCCGGGUCCGGGCUUACGUCUCCUUCGGGAGCCGGAUGCCCUGGCCUGUUGGGACCGUAACGGUAGUAGGUCAGCGCGGGAGUGACGCAGAAGGGUAGCCGGCCGCGGAGGUGGUCUUCCGUGGUCAAGCACGCAGCCCGUCCCACAGGCAAAUCCGUGGGGCGCGUGGGCGAGGUGCGAUGAUGGGCGCCGCAGGGCGCGAUAUCCGGUGAUCCCGGCUGCCGAGAAAAGCUUCGGCGUGAGGCGGCGUGCCGCCCGUACCCCAAACCGACACUGGUGGUCAGGUAGAGAAUACCAAAGCGAUCGAGCGAAUCCUGGUCAAGGAACUCGGCAAAUCACUCCCGUUCCUUCGGUUUAAGGGAGACCCCCGAUGGUGAAGCGGCUUGCCCGUGGAGCUUUUGGGGGUGGCACAGACCAGGGGGUAGCGACUGUUUACCAAAAACACAGGAGCGUGCGAAGGCGCAAGCCGCUGUAUACGCUCUGACGCCUGCCCGGUGCCGGAAGGUUAAGAGGAUCCGUCAGGCCUCGGCCGAAGCGGUGAAUUCAAGCCCCGGUAAACGGCGGUGGUAACUAUAACCAUCCUAAGGUAGCGAAAUUCCUUGUCGGGUAAGUUCCGACCUGCACGAAUGGCGUAACGACUUCCCCACUGUCUCGACCAGGAGCUCGGCGAAAUUGCAGUACGAGUAAAGAUGCUCGUUAAGCGCAGAAGGACGAAAAGACCCCGGGACCUUUACUAUACCUUGGUAUUGGCAUUCGGUGUGGAUUGUGUAGCAUAGGCGGAAGGCUUCGAAGCCACGGCGCCAGCCGCGGUGGAGCCGCAAGGUGAAAUACCGCUCUGUUCGCAUUGGAUGUCUAACCUCGACCAGUCAUCCUGGUCAGGGACAGUGCCUGGCGGGUAGUUUAACUGGGGCGGUUGCCUCCCAAAGAGUAACGGAGGCGCUCAAAGGUUCCCUCAGCCCGGUUGGCAAUCGGGUGGCGAGUGUAAGUGCACAAGGGAGCUUGACUGCGAGACUGACGGGUCGAGCAGGGACGAAAGUCGGAACUAGUGAUC
rnacentral:rRNA from 1 species